CAACGUGGAUAAUCUACCCGACAGUCAGGGAUAACAUUUCGAGAGGAAUGCUAAUACCUGAUAAGCCUACGCCCUCUUCGGAGGAAGUAGGAAAAGGUGGGGACCUUCGGGCCUGCCGUUGUUGGAUGAGUCCGCGGCCCAUUAGCUAGUUGGUAGGGUAAUGGCCUACCAAGGCUACGAUGGGUAGCUGGUCUGAGAGGAUGAUCAGCCACACUGGGACUGAGACACGGCCCAG
rnacentral:rRNA from 1 species